rnacentral:ncRNA from 28 species
UUUCCGUAGGUGAACCUGCGGAAGGAUC